UACGUAGGGCGCAAGCGUUGUCCGGAAUUAUUGGGCGUAAAGAGCUUGUAGGUGGCUUGUCGCGUCUGCCGUGAAAACCCGAGGCUCAACCUCGGGCGUGCGGUGGGUACGGGCUGACUAGAGUGCAGUAGGGGAGUCUGGAAUUCCUGGUGUAGCGGUGAAAUGCGCAGAUAUCAGGAAGAACACCGAUGGCGAAGGCAGGUCUCUGGGCCAUUACUGACACUGAGAAGCGAAAGCAUGGGGAGCGAACAG
rnacentral:rRNA from 1 species